GGCUCGCCCUUAAUGUGUAGCGGCGGACUCAUAAUCCGUCAGCCGUGGGUUCGAGUCCCACCCGCCCCACCA
rnacentral:tRNA from 1 species